GAUGAACGCUGGCGGCGUGCUUAACACAUGCAAGUCGAACGGUGAAAGAGAGCUCGCUCUCUGGAUCAGUGGCGAACGGGUGAGUAACACGUGAGCAAUCUGCCCCUGACUCUGGGAUAACAGUUGGAAACAGCUGCUAAUACCGGAUACGAGCUGCGAAGGCAUCUUCAGCAGCUGGAAAGAAUUUCGGUCAGGGAUGAGCUCGCGGCCUAUCAGCUUGUUGGUGAGGUAAUGGCUCACCAAGGCGUCGACGGGUAGCCGGCCUGAGAGGGUGACCGGCCACACUGGGACUGAGACACGGCCCAGACUCCUACGGGAGGCAGCAGUGGGGAAUAUUGCACAAUGGGCGAAAGCCUGAUGCAGCAACGCCGCGUGAGGGACGACGGCCUUCGGGUUGUAAACCUCUUUUAGCAGGGAAG
rnacentral:rRNA from 1 species